UACGGAGGAUGCGAGCGUUAUCCGGAUUUAUUGGGUUUAAAGGGUGCGCAGGCGGAGGUGCAAGUCAGUGGUCAAAUUGCGGGGCUCAACCCCGUACUGCCGUUGAAACUGCAUCCCUUGAGUGCGCGAGAAGUAUGCGGAAUGCGUGGUGUAGCGGUGAAAUGCAUAGAUAUAACUUAGAACACCGAUAGCGAAGGCAGCUUACCAGACUGAGUCUGACGCUGAUGCACGAGAGCAUGGGUAGCGAACAGG
rnacentral:rRNA from 1 species